UGGGCUUUUCAUCACCCUAAAUAAAAGCC
rnacentral:piRNA from 1 species